UGCCAGACUCCUACGGGAGGCAGCAGUCGAGAAUCAUUCACAAUGGGGGAAACCCUGAUGGUGCGACGCCGCGUGGGGGAAUGAAGGUCUUCGGAUUGUAAACCCCUGUCAUGUGGGAGCAAAUUAAAAAGAUAGUACCACAAGAGGAAGAGACGGCUAACUCCGUGCCAGCAGCCGCGGUAAUACGGGGGAUGCAAGCGUUAUCCGGAUUUAUUGGGUUUAAAGGGUGCGUAGGCUGUGAGGUAAGUCGGCGGUGAAAUGCCCCCGCUCAACGGGGUGAAGUGCCAUUGAUACUGCCUUGCUGGAAUGCGGAUGCCGUGGGAGGAAUGUGUGGUGUAGCGGUGAAAUGCAUAGAUAUCACACAGAACACCGAUUGCGAAGGCAUCUCACGAAUCCGCGAUUGACGCUGAUGCACGAAAGCGUGGGUAUCAAACAGGAUUAGAUACCCCCGUA
rnacentral:rRNA from 1 species